CAACAUAAUGGCCGCAGUCACCUAUCAGCUCUUGUUCGGAACCAUGCUGUUGACGGUCCUUAAUGCUCACAUUUAACCAUCAAUUAAUCAUGGAAAAGGAUCCAAAUGCAACCAACACCCAGAAUUAGGGUUUUAUCUGAUAGAAUUCCACGAGUUUUGGUGUUUGUGUAUUUCUGCAGGGGGUUAUCAGGAAAUACGGAAGAAAGGCCCACACGUCGGGUUUACAUAGAGAUAUUAACGUACCGCGCAAUUUUCUAUCAUCUAGAAGACUCCAGAAGCCACGGGACCGAAGCGGAGGCCGAGAGGACACAGGGACAGGGCGCCCGCCCUCCUUUCUUGGGCGCCCGCCCUCAGCCAGAGUCCAAUCAGGACUCUCUUUCGGGAUAUUGCUCCACCGACCUAAAGGAUCAACAAUAACCGUUCAAUCAAUGUCGGUUUGAUCCGACGGCCCAGAUUCACUUGAAGGGACUAUAAAACCAGACCCCCCUGGCCCCUGGAGAGCAUACCUCUUCUACAGAAUCAAAGUUAGGGUUUCAAUUCUUCAUCCAAGUAGAGAGGAUCCCUCUAGUUCUUCUAGUUCUACCUCUAGUUCAUCUAGAUCUAGUUCUAGUUCAUCUAGUUCUAGUUCUAGUUCCUUUAGUUCUAGUUCUAGUUCUAGUUAGUUCUAGUUGUAAUCUAGAAAAUAGGGAGAGAGAAGAGGAGAGCGGAGGAGGAGCCGGAUCUGUCGGAUCUUCCUCAACAUUGUACUUUUGCAGCAACUGGUUCGUUCUUCAUCGUUCUCCAGGUUCUUCAAUUCAUAACUCCUGAGUUCUCUAAUACUUUUAUUUACAUUCAAGUUACUUAUUGGAUUCCCGCUUGCAUCAAGUGCUCUAGGCUUUAUAACACUAGAGUAGUAAUUAAUAGAUUAGACGUGGUGUUUAGUCUUGCGAUUACCUGGAAUUGCACCCAAUCCUACGGAUUGUUGUGGUAGCCCUAGGGUAGUGACAGCCCUAACGGUCGACGUAUUCCACCACGUUCGGAUCGGUGUUUGUAGGACCGUGGUCAGACCUUCCUAGCCCCCUUCUCAUCUCUUUCUGUGGUUAGUGCUCUGAUGUCCCGAUAUAGAUAAUCUUGAAGUAAUUCUUGAUUCUUAGCUCAACUAGAGAACUCUCAGAAAACUUCCUCUCUUCCCACCAAAAAUAAUUAUAUAGUUAUCUUUGGGCGAUCUUGGAUCUUAAUUAGUACACUCACGUUCUCUGUGGAAAAUCGAUACUCUGAAAUACUCCCGGGUGAAAGCUACAUUGGUAUCCGUGCGCUUGCGGAUUUUUCUGUUUGCGUUUAAAAUACCCAACAAGCUUUCUGGCGCCGUUGCCGGGGAACGGUAGCUGUGCUAGUUUCGAACCAAGUCGCCCGUAUAUCCUUUUUCUUUUCCUUUUUUACCACACUCACCUUAUCAUUUUCACCGUACCACAUGGAUUUCACUCUAAGCAUUAAUGAGCAUGGAAUUUAUUUUAUAGCCACUUCAUUUACUCCAUGCUCAUAUGCAACAUCUUCACAAUCCAUUGGUCUCUCCAACAUCACCACAUUCGAGAUCUCCAACCCCCUCUUCCUUUCUAUUCAUAAAAACUUUAAAGGGGCGGUUGUCGAUGCAUAUGUCUAUAAUAAAAUUUGCAGAUCUCGUUGAGUUGAUCUUGAUAUAGGUCAGCGUUGGAGGGGAAACCACUUCACUGACAAAAAUUGAUGGUUUCCCAAGGACAAGCUUAGUGUCCUAAAACAAGCACUGAUCAGAUUGUAACAUGAGCUUUUAAUUAUUUGCAACAUUAACUUGUGUAUUGAGCAUAUAAGGAUAAUUGUAAAAAAAUUCCUUCGGGUAUUCUUGGAGCAAGAAGAUCGGAUGAAUGACAAGCACAAGGUAUGUACAACCAAUCAUCAUACAACAUUGAAUUAAAUUCAUCCAAACUUGAAUUUUGCAAAAUUCAAGCUUGGGGGAGUACUUUACAUAAAAACAUCCUUUGCCAUGUUGCUAUAUUGGUUGACCCUACCAUUGAGACAUGCUCAAUUUGUUAAAUACUAAUCACACUACUUCAUCUCCACUUGAGUAGAUCUCUAUAAAUGCUCUCAUGCUACCUUUAUUUGCUUUAGUAUAUGUCUAGGUUUGGAGUAGUUUCAUUUAUCUCUUAAUUAAGCUUGGUGCUUAGUUUAGGAAUGAUGAUCUUACUACCAAGGGGUUUUAAAUUAAGCAUGGUGCUUAGGUUAAAAUGCCCUCCUAAAUCAAAUUAGACAUGGUGUCUAGGUUGAUUUUUGAGCCGAUAGUAUGCUAUAGUAGAUAUGGGAUAUUUUGUUGGACUAACCCAUGCAGGAAAACUUUCACUAUCGACAUGGGAAGUCCUGAGAUACACUCACAUUUUUGACAAAGAGAGAGGCACAUGAAGUUUAACAAUUUAUAGGAGGAAGGCAUAGCUCACAAGAGAUGAUCCAUGGAGGGUGCUACAAACACGAUGCACAACCGCUAAGAAAGGAAAGCUUCCACAAGGAGAUACCGUACCAUCACUCUUCAAGUAAGGUAACAUCUUAAGGUACUUGACUAUCACUUUUAUAAGCUUCUCCUUGGUUCUGGCGUUCACAUGAAUAAAAGAGACAAACAUGUAUGAUUUACAAAUCUAGAUUAACCAACCCAGUCGAUUCAAUAUGUUUAGUCAUUCCACCUUUGUGAUCCCACACUCCUAAUCAUAUGAGCUAAAAUGUUGCAAACUCAAUCUUUGGAAGAUAUAUUUUAUAAAAAAAACAAAACAACAUAAAUAUAGAUAGAUUAUCUUUCCAUUAGGAUGAGCGAUUUGAUCUGACAAAUGUUUUAAAUGCUACACUCAUGAUCUUAUUAUCCUUCAACUUUGUCUUGCUCACUAUGCUUAAGGUUAGAGAAGAACAAAUAAACUUUUGGUUCUGUUGGUGUUUUCCACCAACAGGGCCCAUGCACUUGAUCUCUGCCUUGUCUCUAUGAGCAGGUACACUUCGAGCAAAAUAUGAAGGACUUUUAUAACUCCCAGACUCCACCAAGUGAAGAACCUAGAUCUACGAGCACAAACACACUGGAGAUACUGGACACUCAGGCAAUCACUGCCCUGAGAUGCUUGAGGAUGUAACUACUGGAGUAACCCUGUUGUGGAAGUAAUUACUGACCUUCUGCCGGUUAAGAGAUACAAUCCAGGACGUCCCGUCAUCCAGAUCUCCAUCGGCAUGGUGGACUUCCUAGAAGCACUCUGCGACUUUGGCUCCAGCGUCAACAUUAUGCCUAGGGUACUCUAAGAAAAAUUCUUUACACAUCCUUUAUCAGAAACAACCAUGGGUUUGCAGCUUGCAGAUCGUACACUAAGUUUCCCAAAAGGAAUAUUGAAGAACCUCUGUAUACGAGUUGGUACCUUGUACGCCCCAGCAGACUUCGUGGUGAUAGAGACUGGUACUGAUGAGAGGGCUCCCAUCAUCCUAGGGAGGCUAUUCCUGAACACCUCGGGAGCUAUCAUCUACGCUAGUGCUGCCAAGUUCAGUUUCUACAUCAAGGGGAAGAAGGAGACGUUUUCCUUCAAGAACAAGACUACACAAAUCCCAGAGCAAUCUCGACAUGAACCAAGGAAGAGGACCAACAGGAGGAACAAGAACAAGCAAAUGUGCACCGAGUCAGCUAAGAUGGUCACUGCAGCUCAAGGAGGUCAAGAUCGUCAACUCAAGUCGCUGUUCUUGAUCAAGAAGGACGACUCUGGUGUUCCAAGCAUCGAGUGCAUAAUCAACAGAUAUUCUUUUCAGAAGACACUCUACGACACCGGAUCUGACUUCAACAUAAUGGCCGCAGUCACCUAUCAACUCCUGUUCAGAACCAUGUCCCUACAACCAACAUACAUUCAGCUCCAGAUGGCAGAUCAGACAUUCUGAAAGAUUGAAGGUUAUUGACAUAGGAGAAGACGAGUAUGAUCCACCCAUCAUCCUUGGAAGACCGUUCCUCAACACCGUUAAAGCAAUCAUCUACAUUGGAACCGGCGGAGUCCACAUGCACUUCCCCUCUGAAAAGGUACGCCACUAUUUUACUAACCUUAACUACAUAGUUGAAAGACUCUAAGCAGGACAGGACAAGAAGAAGACGACGCAACCGCAACCAGAGUAGGCAAAUUAUCAAGGACGAAUGGGCGGAUUAUGAAGGAGAAGUGGUAAGGUCUGAAGACAUACAACUUGAACAGAACUGUCCUGAGGAGACCGUAGCACCGUGUCAGGUGUGAAGAGAGAAGAUAGUUAUACAUGAAGACCAGGCGCUGCCGGAACCACCGACUACGCCAUCCAGCGAAUCCUAGGACAACUGUGAAAAUAGAGAGUCCCGUUCGGAGGAUUUAAAAACACCGAACGCCUUGCCAAGAGGUAAACUUGGUAGUUAUAUUUUUUCCCUUUCAAUUAUUUAAAAUAGUUUGCUUAGUUAAUCAGGUUCAUAUCAUCUUAAAAAGAAAAUAAAAAUGUUAAAAAUAGUAAGCCCCAUGUGAGUAUACUCAUGGCAUAAAACCCAUAAGUACAUUCACUGUGGUGGCAUAAAAAUAAAAUAAAUAUAUUCCUGUCCUAUAAAAAUAAAAUUAUAAAAAUAAAAUUAUAAAAAUAAAAUUAUGAUCCUACUAAUGAGUAACAUUUAUUGAGGAGGCUCAACAUGAUAAAGGCUAGAUAUUUAUGCUAACACUUAACUAGUUCCACAAAGCUUUGUUGUCUAUUUGAGCUCCACAGAAUUCAAGGAUCAAAGAAGACUAGCAGACGAAGGACAUCCUAAUCGCUGUCAGAGUGCUGCCGACAUUCAAAUACACCUCCGCCACCUGCUAGCUACAUUAGAAGAAAUUAUGUCAAAAUCUAGCUUGGGGAGAGCACCCCCAUUUAUCCAGCUAAGUGUUCUACUCACGUUUAUACUUUACUCAAAUAAUAAAAAGAUGCAUAAUCAUAAAAACCCAAAUAAAGAUUUUAUGCUUAUAUAUAUAUCUUUGCUUAGUUUGCUAAAUAAAAAAAAUAAAUCAAGAUAAGUAUUAUUUUUCUUUCUUAGUUUUAUUUACUAGUAUUCGGAAAUAAAAAAAAUGCAUAACCAUGAAACCAAACACAGUUUUUGUUUUGAGUAAUAUAUAAUAGUUUUAUGUAAUACUAAGUUUUAAAUAAAAUAAAAAGAAAGUUUGAUUCAAGUCUAGGUAACUGACAAACAUGAUAUGAGAAGGUCUGAGCUACUAUUUAACUUGUUCCAAGUUUUGCUAGAGUUCUGGAGAUUUUAUCUUUUGAAAAUCUAAAAAUUCAUAAAAAAAAUAUAUGAGAUCAUAAUACCUAGAGUCUUAUAAGAAAUAAAUAUUAAAACUGUGGGUACUUUCUUUGUUCAAGCCAUUGUUAAUUCUUGUAGUUUUGGUUGAGAGAAUUAUCAUGCUCCCAAGAUCAAGAUCUUUUUGUUUUAAAAAUAUAAAAGAUUCACUCUUCCGAAGUAUUAUUGCGUUAGAGGCAUGGGACUAUGCAAAAAUUUGAUUCGAAAAAAAAAGUGAGAUGAGAGGUAAAAAUGGACAAGUGUCCGAAGUAGAAUUAGAGGUACAAAGAUACCCACCUGAGUGGAAAAAAAUGGACAUGUGUCCGAUAGUAGAAUUAGGGGUACUUGCUGCCCACUUGAAAAAAAGAGACUAAAAAAAAGAGAAAAAAAGGAAAAAAAAUGAAAGCCCAUGGUCCCUCUAAUAAGCAAUAUGCCAGUAAGAGAUGACAAACUCUUCAAAAAGGUCAAAGGUCUUGAUCUAGGAGUAUGACAUUCCUCUCCCUUGCUCCGAGCAUUGACAUAGCAAAAUGCAAAGUAAGUAUGCUAAAAUUUUUAAAGCUCUACUUAUAUAUCUUUCGAGAAGAAGGCAAAUGCCUCAGAUUUAUUUUGGAAACUUACAAACAACUCCAGAACAAAGGUAAGACAAAAGAACUUGAGACAUAGUGCUUGACUUGAUCAUUCUGUUUUUCAAUCACUUAAGACCUUAGCGAUAACUUAAAACCCCUUUAGUAAAAGGCAUAAAUGUAACACCUGUUUUCUUGAUGAUUUUAGCUUUGCUCAGGGACGAGCAAAGGUUAAGCAUGGGGGAGCUUGUUGACGGUCCUUAAUGCUCACAUUUAACCAUCAAUUAAUGAUGGAAAAGGAUCCAAAUGCAACCAACACCCAGACUUAGGGUUUUAUCUGAUAGAAUUCCACGAGUUUUGGUGUUUGUGUAUUUCUGCAGGGGGUUAUCAGGAAAUACGGAAGAAAGGCCCACACGUCGGGUUUACAUAGAGAUAUUAACGUAUCGCGUAAUUUUCUAUCAUCUAGAAGACUCCAGAAGCCACGGGACCGAAGCGGAGGCCGAGAGGACAUAGGGACAGGGCGCCCGCCCUUAGCCAGAGUCCAAUCAGGACUCUCUUUCGGGAUAUUGCUCCACCGACCUAAAGGAUCAACAAUAACCGUUCAAUCAAUGUCGGUUUGAUCUGACGGCCCAGAUUCACUUGAAGGGGCUAUAAAACCAGACCCCCCUGGCCCCUAGAGAGCAUACCUCUUCUACAGAAUCAAAGUUAGGGUUUCAAUUCUUCAUCCAAGUAGAGAGGAUCCCUCUAGUUCUUCUAGUUCUACCUCUAGUUCAUCUAGAUAUAGUUCUAGUUCAUCUAGUUCUAGUUCUAGUUCCUCUAGUUCUAGUUCUAGUUAGUUCUAGUUGUAAUCUAGAAAAUAGGGAGAGAGAAGAGGAGAGCGGUGGAGGAGCCGGAUCUGUCGGAUCUUCCUCAACAUUGUACUUUUGCAGCAACUGGUUCGUUCUUCAUCGUUCUCCAGGUUCUUCAAUUCUUAACUCCUGAGUUCUCUAAUUCUUUUAUUUACAUUCAAGUUAUUUAUUGGAUUCCCGCUUGCAUCAAGUGCUCUAGUCUUUAUAACGCUAGAGUAGUAAUUAAUAGAUUAGACGUGGUGUUUAGUAUUGCGAUUACCUGGAAUUGUACCCAAUCCUACGGAUUGUUGUGAUAACCCUAGGGUAGUGACAGCCCUAACGGUCGACGUAUUCCACCAC
rnacentral:lncRNA from 1 species